AGUGAACGCUGGCGGCGUGCUUAACACAUGCAAGUCGAACGAGAACGGAUUAUAGCUUGCUAUAAUUGUCAGCUAAGUGGCGCACGGGUGAGUAAUGUAUAGGUAAUAUGCCUCUUACUAAGGGAUAACAAAUGGAAACGUUUGCUAAUACCUUAUACUCCUUAUUAACAGAAGUUAAUAAGGGAAAGAUUUAUUGGUAAGAGAUUAGCCUGUAUUGUAUCAGUUAGUUGGCGGGGUAAUGGCUUACCAAGACUAUGACACAUAACUGGUUUGAGAGGAUGAUCAGUCACACUGGAACUGAGACACGGUCCAGACUCCUACGGGAGGCAGCAGUGGGGAAUAUUGCACAAUGGACGAAAGUCUGAUGCAGCAACGCCGCGUGGAGGAUGACACAUUUCGGUGCGUAAACUCCUUUUAUAUGAGAAGAUAAUGACGGUAUUCUAUGAAUAAGCACCGGCUAACUCCGUGCCAGCAGCCGCCGUAAUAC
rnacentral:rRNA from 1 species